rnacentral:lncRNA from 1 species
UCUGUAGUCGCUUUUACAGAUAGGAAGACCAGUGUCCAGCCUAUAUAUGUAGCUAAGUCCCAGCCUUGAGCGUUUCUUUUCAUCUCAGUUUUUAGCACCAAUUGCCAAAGAACAGUUAGAAUAUUGACCUAAGUCACAACAAAAUUUGUUGCAAAGUUGAUUCAGCUGACUCAUGGGUCACUAAAGAUUCUUGAAUCAGAGACAGAAAGAUUUGCCCCUCAAUAGAUUGUUCAUAAUUAGUUUGAGAUCCACUGAGGGACAGGGAAAGGGGAUAGCUUCUCAGUGAUGGGGAUGGGUUCACUUUUUUUCGGGGUAGGUUUAAUAUUCUGAUUGGAACCUGAUCUGGAAUCAGAUCUUGAAUGAACUACUUUUUUCUGAAAAGACAAUGUGUUCUUCUUAGCAAAUCCUCUGCUGCUAAAGCAGUGGUGCUUUGGGACAGUGGUGGUAGUGGAUGUGGGUGGUUUGCGGCAUUUUUUUUUCUCUCAGUGCAAUAAUAUUUAAUAUUUUCAGUAUCAAUUGUACUUUGUUUUUCCCCUCCAUUCCAUUUUAGAAAAAAUGGCAAAUCAGUGAAAAAUGUAAGAGAGGUUAAAGCCAUAAUUGCUUAGUAGUAAAACUUGUCAACCUGUUGCCAAUUGGAGAAGCCCCAGUUGUGGAUUUUACUCUGAUAUCACUAGCAGGUUCAUUCUGUAUUUUUAAAAAAUAAGGGAAAUGUCAAUGUGUUGCUUCAUUUUAUGCAUUUUGAGGACAGCUCCUCCUUCACUCCUAUCUCAGGCUUUAUACAGGCAAGUUUUCUGAUGUCACUGGACCAGCCAACAUCUCGCUGUUCUGCAACUCUGCUUCUGUAAAAUUCUAUCCUGAUGCUGCUGCCUCUUCCUGCAGACUUCCUGAGUGCCAGGACUGCAUGUCUCCUUGCUGACUUCUCAUCACAAGUCUGUAAAUAUAAACAUUUAUUGUUACAGUCAUCUUUGGUUCAAGACAUUGUCUAAUAGAAAUGUUAUCUAACUUGACAAAAGUCAUACAACUGUCGGCCUAUUGAGGGCUACAAUACAACUUUACACAAUUAGUCAAGCACCAGCUCCUAACCAAUAUCAGCCUUCUCAAGCACUCUUUUCU